GAUGAACGCUGGCGGCGUGCCUAAUACAUGCAAGUCGAGCGAACAGACGAGGAGCUUGCUCCUCUGACGUUAGCGGCGGACGGGUGAGUAACACGUGGAUAACUUACCUAUAAGACUGGGAUAACUUCGGGAAACCGGAGCUAAUACCGGAUAAUAUAUUGAACCGCAUGGUUCAAUAGUGAAAGACGGUUUUGCUGUCACUUCUAGAUGGAUCCGCGCCGCAUUAGCUAGUUGGUAAGGUAACGGCUUACCAAGGCAACGAUGCGUAGCCGAUCUGAGAGGCAGAUCGGCCACACUGGAACUGAGACACGCUCCAGACUCCUACGGGAGGCAGCAGUAGGGAAUCUUCCGCAAUGGGCGAAAGCCUGACGGAGCAACGCCGCGUGAGUGAUGAAGGUCUUCGGAUCGUAAAACUCUGUUAUUAGGGAAGAACAAAUGUGUAAGUAACUAUGCACGUCUUGACGGUACCUAAUCAGAAAGCCACGGCUAACUACGUG
rnacentral:rRNA from 1 species